CCUCCGCUCCCACCCGACUCGCUCGCGUCUCCGCCGUCUCCCCGGUGUCCCCUCCCACCCCGCUCCGCCCCCCCCCCCCCGCCCCCCAGCCAGCCGCGUCCUCCCGGGCUCGGUGAGGAACUGUUCCCGGAGGAGCCGCGGGACGCCGAAAGCAGCCAAUGGGAAGAGGCGAGACGCCGAGAUUGGCACCGUGGAUGGGAAGCAAACUGGUAGCCUGGAGCUCUGCUCACAUGCAUCCCACCCGCGCCGGAGCAGCUUCCUACAAGCACCCCACUUCCUGACACUUGAGAGCCACGGAAUGGAAGGAGGCUCAGUUGCUUUAGAAGGCCCAGAAUAAAAGGCUGUUUUCAUUAAAUUGUAAAGCCCGCUGUAUCUAAUCCUUUGAGCACCACUAUUGAUAACAAGAACUGCUCUGAAGCUUGCUCUGGAGGAAGAGUUAGUUCCCUGCCAAGCUGGAAAACCGUCAUGAAGUUACUUGAAAAAUAAGGCCUACAGUGGGACU
rnacentral:lncRNA from 1 species